rnacentral:rRNA from 1 species
GACGAACGCUGGCGGCGUGCCUAACACAUGCAAGUCGUACGGGACCGGGGGCAACUCCGGUUCAGUGGCAGACGGGUGCGUAACACGUGAGGAACCUGUCCGGUGGCGGGGGAUAGCCGGCCUAACGGCCGGGUAAUACCGCAUACGCUCGUUUGGGGGCAUCCCUGGGCGAGGAAAGCAGCCGCAAGGUUGCGCCGACGGAGGGCCUCGCGACCUAUCAGCUUGUUGGCGGGGUAACGGCCCACCAAGGCACGACGGGUAGCUGGUCUGAGAGGAUGAUCAGCCACAUUGGGACUGAGACACGGGCCCAGACUCCUACGGGAGGCAGCAGUGGGGAAUAUUGGACAAUGGGCGCAAGCCUGAUCCAGCGAUGCCGCGUGUGUGAAGAAGGCCUGCGGGUUGUAAAGCACUUUCAGUAGGGAAGAAAAGCCGAGUGCUAAUAUCACUCGGUCUUGACGUUACUUACAGAAGAAGCACCGGCUAACUCCGUGCCAGCAGCCGCCGU